rnacentral:tRNA from 1 species
GCUAACGUGGCUUAACCAUAAAGCAUAACACUGAAGAUGUUAAGAUGGACCCUAGAAAGUCCCGCAAGCA